UGGAAAGAUGAAUCAAAGAAGGUAAUAAUCCUGUAGUCGAAAAUGUUGUCUCUCUUGAGUGGAUCCUGAGUACGACGGAGCACGUGAAAUUCCGUCGGAAUCUGGGAGGACCAUCUCCUAAGGCUAAAUACUCUCUAGUGACCGAUAGUGAACCAGUACCGUGAGGGAAAGGUGAAAAGCACCCCGGAAGGGGAGUGAAAUAGAACCUGAAACCGUGUGCUUACAAGUAGUCAGAGCCCGUUAAUGGGUGAUGGCGUGCCUUUUGUAGAAUGAACCGGCGAGUUACGAUUUGAUGCAAGGUUAAGCAGUAAAUGUGGAGCCGUAGCGAAAGCGAGUCUGAAUAGGGCGUUUAGUAUUUGGUCGUAGACCCGAAACCAGGUGAUCUACCCUUGGUCAGGUUGAAGUUCAGGUAACACUGAAUGGAGGACCGAACCGACUUACGUUGAAAAGUGAGCGGAUGAACUGAGGGUAGCGGAGAAAUUCCAAUCGAACCUGGAGAUAGCUGGUUCUCUCCGAAAUAGCUUUAGGGCUAGCCUCAAGUGAUGAUUAUUGGAGGUAGAGCACUGUUUGGACGAGGGGCCCCUCUCGGGUUACCGAAUUCAGACAAACUCCGAAUGCCAAUUAAUUUAACUUGGGAGUCAGAACAUGGGUGAUAAGGUCCGUGUUCGAAAGGGAAACAGCCCAGACCACCAGCUAAGGUCCCAAAAUAUAUGUUAAGUGGAAAAGGAUGUGGCGUUGCCCAGACAACUAGGAUGUUGGCUUAGAAGCAGCCAUCAUUUAAAGAGUGCGUAAUAGCUCACUAGUCGAGUGACACUGCGCCGAAAAUGUACCGGGGCUAAACAUAUUACCGAAGCUGUGGAUUGUCCUUUGGACAAUGGUAGGAGAGCGUUCUAAGGGCGUUGAAGCAUGAUCGUAAGGACAUGUGGAGCGCUUAGAAGUGAGAAUGCCGGUGUGAGUAGCGAAAGACGGGUGAGAAUCCCGUCCACCGAUUGACUAAGGUUUCCAGAGGAAGGCUCGUCCGCUCUGGGUUAGUCGGGUCCUA
rnacentral:rRNA from 1 species